rnacentral:tRNA from 2 species
GCCGAAGUAGCUCAGUUGGUAGAGCAGACGCUUCGUAAGCGCCAGGUCGAGAGUUCGAAUCUCUCCUUCGGCU